rnacentral:rRNA from 1 species
GACAGAGGCCUCAAGCGUUAGGCGGAAUCACUGGGCUUAAAGCGUGUGUAGGCGGAUCGUUAAGUGUCUUGUGAAAUCCCACGGCUCACCCGUGGAACGGCUGGGCACACUGGCGAUCUUGGGCCAACUAGGGGCAACUGGAACAAGCGGUGGAGCGGUGAAAUGCGUAGAUAUCGCUUGGAACGCCAAAGGUGAAAACAGGUUGCUGGGGUUGUGCCGACGCUGAGACACGAAAGCCAGGGGAGCAAACGGG